rfam:Triticum aestivum genome assembly, contig: Triticum_aestivum_CS42_TGACv1_scaffold_112409_2AS
UUAAUACUCUCUCUGUCCCAAAAUUAUUGUCUUAAGAUUUGUCUAGAUACGGAUGUAUCUAAUUAAUGCAUUCGUAUUUAGACAAAUCUAUUGAUACAUCCGUUUUUAGACAAAUCUAAAACAAGAAUUUCGGGGUGAAGGGAGUAUUAC